AGAGCAGUGUUCUUCAACCGGUGGGUCGCAUAAGCUUUAAAAUUGGGUCGCGAUAAGUCUUCUUUUUAAAAUAAAAAUUAAAUUUAUAAAAUUAUAUAAGCAAAUUUUCGUUCACCUGUUUUAAUAUUGUGCUGUUGGUUUUGAUAUUCGAGUGAACUGACCGAUUAUACAAUUUAAAGGUUACCUGAUCAAGAUUUUCUUCUAAGCGUAAACGGAUGGCAAUUUCUUGUUCGGGAAUCAUAGAGUUUGUAGACUCUACAGGACUGCUAGGUCUUGAUAUACUCGC